UGCUACUCCCUCUCUCUCCCCAAGGCGUUGCCAUCCCCAUGCCACUGUGGAUCUCGCGCUACUCCUUUCUCUGGAAUGAUCCAAUUGAAUUUCCAGCUAAAAUGGUUUCUUUGAUCACUGGAUCGAUGCAUCAGAUUUAUGCAUUACAUGAUUUUUUGCAGAUCUUGAAUGCGAGAGAGUCACCAUAUCUUACAGGGGAUGGGGACGUGAGGAGAAAAAAGGGAUUCAGAUCGUUGCUGGAUGAGGUGCUGACGACGGUGGCAGUUGCAGAAAUCGGAGAGGAGGGAGAGAGGAAGGCUCAGUAAUGCUUUCCUAGCUGCUGUUGCUACUGUUCAAAGAAGGGACAUGUAUAAUUUGCACUUCAUAAUGUUUUGUUCUGCUCGUGCUUGCUACCGCUAUUGCUUCGAGAGCAAUCACGAGAGAACAAUAAUUGUCUCUUCAUUCACGUGAUCUUAUUUCCUUGUUUUGUUUAUUCUCUAGACAUGUUCACAAUUACAUAGCACACAGAGUGACUGAGGCAUACAUGGCCAGUGGCGUCAGGCGUGUGAGGUUAAAUCUUCCAAUAUGAUUCUUCGAUCGUUAAGUCCAAUAUCUAUACAGAAUUAAGCAUCCCGCCAUCACAUCAAGUUUCUUUACCCUCGUUGUCUUGUGCUUUCGUCCCCAUUGCAAGUUUCUUUCCCAGGUAGAAAACAUCAAUUCAUAACAUUCUGGAAGAUUCAUCCAUAUCUUUUUAGUCUUGCAAGUUAGGGAUUUUUAGUGAUGUCUAUUGUUGGAUUUUCCUUUCUAUGAUGUGAUCCUACCAUUUUAUCCACCCUUGAUAUUUUCAUUUCUUCUAUUUUGCAGUGUUUCUUUUUGUGGAUUUGUACGGACAAGAUUAGUCAAAUUUACCGUUCCUGGUUCAUUACAUUUAGCUUCGGUCAUGUCUAAAUGCAAGUUGAUGGAUGAUUCACUAGAUUCAUGCUCUUCCCACACCAUGUCACGGUCAACCUCGGCUCCAGAAAGAAUCUCAACCCAUGUUCAUGUUUGAUUGGAGGCUGAAAGUCGCUUCAACGUUUGUGCUGCUGUCACUUGGCAAUGAUCAAUGAAAGCAGAAACGGGAGAUAUAUUGUUGUUUAGAAUCAUGAUGCCUUUGUGAAUUUAUUAGAAAAUAUUAUAUUAAUAAAGCAUUUGUAUUUUUACCAUGCUUGAA